rnacentral:tmRNA from 1 species
GGGGGCGACCUGGCUUCGACGGGGGUUACAAAACCUUAGGUGCAUGCCGAGUAUUUCAGUUUUUCUCGUAAAACAGACUGGAAAAUAUUAGUUGCUAACGAUAACAACUACGCACUAGCUGCUUAAUAACCAGUGAAUGCCGUCCGACCAGAUCCGUGCUUGUGCGUCUGGUAUCGGGCGUCGACUCUCACAAGAUCGUCAUGAAGUAAGCUUGGUACUGAUUGAUUAAAACCUUACAAGAUCGCUUCUUGUUUUCCCUGUUCAUCGGGUAGCCUGAAGUUAAAUUAAUAGAUGAAAUAAGCAUGUAGAGCUGAAGGCGGAGGAUCUGCGGACGCGGGUUCGAUUCCCGCCGCCUCCACCA